UGUGACCUCAAAUCAGGUAGGACUACCCGCUGAACUUAAGCAUAUCAAUAAGCGGAGGAAAAGAAACUAACAAGGAUUCCCCUAGUAACUGCGAGUGAAGCGGGAAAAGCUCAAAUUUAAAAUCUGUCAGUCUUUGGCUGUCCGAGUUGUAAUCUAGAGAAGUGUUGUCGGCGCUGGACCGUGUACAAGUCUCCUGGAAUGGAGCGUCAUAGAGGGUGAGAAUCCCGUCUUUGACACGGACUGCCAGGGCUUUGUGAUGCGCUCUCGAAGAGUCGAGUUGUUUGGGAAUGCAGCUCAAAAUGGGUGGUAAAUUCCAUCUAAAGCUAAAUAUUGGCGAGAGACCGAUAGCGAACAAGUACCGUGAGGGAAAGAUGAAAAGAACUUUGGAAAGAGAGUUAAACAGUACGUGAAAUUGCUGAAAGGGAAACGCUUGAAGUCAGUCAUGUUGUCCAGGGAUCAACCUUGCUUUUGCUUGGUGUACUUUCUGGUUGACGGGUCAGCAUCAAUUUUGACCAUUGGAAAAAGAUUGAGGGAAUGUGGCAUUCUUGGAUGUGUUAUAGCCCUUGGUUGCAUACAAUGGUU
rnacentral:rRNA from 1 species